CACGUAGGGGGCGAGCGUUGUCCGGAUUUAUUGGGCGUAAAGAGCUCGUAGGCGGCUCAGUAAGUCAGGUGUGAAAACUCCAGGCUCAACCUGGAGACGCCACUUGAUACUGCUGUGGCUAGAGUCCGGUAGGGGAGCAUGGAAUUCCUGGUGUAGCGGUGAAAUGCGCAGAUAUCAGGAGGAACACCAGUGGCGAAGGCAGCUCGCUGGGACGUGACUGACGCUGAGACGCGAAAGCGUGGGGAGCAAACAGG
rnacentral:rRNA from 1 species